GUCAUUGUAGUUUAGGUGCUUAAAAUAAUAGUUUGUCGGACUGUAGGUGAUGUUGUUCCUUUGACU
rnacentral:tRNA from 1 species